UCGGGAGGCAGCAGUAGGGAAUCUUCUCCAAUGGACGAAAGUCUGACGGAGCAACACCGCGUGAGUGAUGAAGGUUUUCGGAUCGUAAAGCUCUGUUGUUAGGGAAGAACAAGUACCGUUUGAAUAGGGGGGUACCUUGACGGUACCUAACCAGAAAGCCCCGGCUAACUACGUGCCAGCAGCCGCGGUAAUACGUAGGGGGCAAGCGUUGUCCGGAAUUAUUGGGCGUAAAGGGCUCGCAGGCGGUUUUUUAAGUCUGAGGUGAAAGCCCCCGGCUCAACCGGGGAGGGUCAUUGGAAACUGGGGAACUUGAGUGCAGAAGAGGAGAGUGGAAUUCCACGUGUAGCGGUGAAAUGCGUAGAGAUGUGGAGGAACACCAGUGGCGAAGGCGACUCUCUGGUCUGUAACUGACGCUGAGGAGCGAAAGCGUGGGGAGCGAACUCAAUUAGAUACCCCGGUAGUCCACGCCGUAAACGAUGAGUGCUAA
rnacentral:rRNA from 1 species